CAUGCAAAGUCGAACGGCAGCGCGGGAGCAAUCCUGGCGGCGAGUGGCGAACGGGUGAGUAAUACAUCGGAACGUGCCCAAUCGUGGGGGAUAACGCAGCGAAAGCUGUGCUAAUACCGCAUACGAUCUACGGAUGAAAGCAGGGGACCGCAAGGCCUUGCGCGAAUGGAGCGGCCGAUGGCAGAUUAGGUAGUUGGUGAGGUAAAGGCUCACCAAGCCUUCGAUCUGUAGCUGGUCUGAGAGGACGACCAGCCACACUGGGACUGAGACACGGCCCAGACUCCUACGGGAGGCAGCAGUGGGGAAUUUUGGACAAUGGGCGCAAGCCUGAUCCAGCCAUGCCGCGUGCAGGAUGAAGGCCUUCGGGUUGUAAACUGCUUUUGUACGGAACGAAACGGCCUUUUCUAAUAAAGAGGGCUAAUGACGGUACCGUAAGAAUAAGCACCGGCUAACUACGUGCCAGCAGCCGCGGUAAUACGUAGGGUGCAAGCGUUAAUCGGAAUUACUGGGCGUAAAGCGUGCGCAGGCGGUGAUGUAAGACAGUUGUGAAAUCCCCGGGCUCAACCUGGGAACUGCAUCUGUGACUGCAUCGCUGGAGUACGGCAGAGGGGGAUGGAAUUCCGCGUGUAGCAGUGAAAUGCGUAGAUAUGCGGAGGAACACCGAUGGCGAAGGCAAUCCCCUGGGCCUGU
rnacentral:rRNA from 1 species